rfam:Heligmosomoides polygyrus genome assembly, scaffold: HPBE_scaffold0015016
GCGCCGGUGGUGUAAGGGGAACAUCGCUGCCCGGAAAGCAGAAGAUGCGGGUUUGAAUCCCGCCUGGCGCA